GCAGUCGAGCGGGCGAGGUUGCUUCGGUAACUGAGCUAGCGGCGGACGGGUGAGUAAAGCUUAGGAAUCUGCCUAUUAGUGGGGGACAACAUUCCGAAAGGAAUGCUAAUACCGCAUACGUCCUACGGGAGAAAGCAGGGGAUCUUCGGACCUUGCGCUAAUAGAUGAGCCUAAGUCAGAUUAGCUAGUUGGUGGGGUAAAGGCCUACCAAGGCGACGAUCUGUAGCGGGUCUGAGAGGAUGAUCCGCCACACUGGGACUGAGACACGGCCCAGACUCCUACGGGAGGCAGCAGUGGGGAAUAUUGGACAAUGGGCGGAAGCCUGAUCCAGCCAUGCCGCGUGUGUGAAGAAGGCCUUUUGGUUGUAAAGCACUUUAAGCGAGGAGGAGGCUACCUAGAUUAAUACUCUGGGAUAGUGGACGUUACUCGCAGAAUAAGCACCGGCUAACUCUGUGCCAGCAGCCGCGGUAAUACAGAGGGUGCGAGCGUUAAUCGGAUUUACUGGGCGUAAAGCGUGCGUAGGCGGCUUCUUAAGUCGGAUGUGAAAUCCCUGAGCUUAACUUAGGAAUUGCAUUCGAUACUGGGAAGCUAGAGUAUGGGAGAGGAUGGUAGAAUUCCAGGUGUAGCGGUGAAAUGCGUAGAGAUCUGGAGGAAUACCGAUGGCGAAGGCAGCCAUCUGGCCUAAUACUGACGCUGAGGUACGAAAGCAUGGGGAGCAAACAGGAUUAGAUACCCUGGUAGUCCAUGCCGUAAACGAUGUCUACUAGCCGUUGGGGCCUUUGAGGCU
rnacentral:rRNA from 1 species